UACGAAGGGGGCAAGCGUUGUUCGGAAUUACUGGGCGUAAAGGGCGCGUAGGCGGCUUAUCAAGUCAGGCGUGAAAUUCCCGGGCUCAACCUGGGGGCUGCGCUUGAUACUGAUGAGCUUGAAUGCGGGAGAGGAUAGUGGAAUUCCCAGUGUAGAGGUGAAAUUCGUAGAUAUUGGGAAGAACACCAGUGGCGAAGGCGGCUAUCUGGCCCGUAAUUGACGCUGAGGCGCGAAAGCGUGGGGAGCGAACAGG
rnacentral:rRNA from 1 species